rnacentral:rRNA from 1 species
CCUACGGGAGGCAGCAGUGAGGAAUAUUGGACAAUGGGCGCAAGCCUGAUCCAGCCAUGCCGCGUGCAGGAAGAAGCAUCUAUGGUGUGUAAACUGCUUUUGUACAGGAAGAAACACUCCCUCGUGAGGGAGCUUGACGGUACUGUAAGAAUAAGGACCGGCUAACUCCGUGCCAGCAGCCGCGGUAAUACGGAGGGUCCGAGCGUUAUCCGGAAUCAUUGGGUUUAAAGGGUCCGUAGGCGGUUUAAUAAGUCAGUGGUGAAAUCUGGUCGCUCAACGAUCAAACGGCCAUUGAUACUGUUAGACUUGAAUUAUAAGGAAGUAACUAGAAUAUGUAGUGUAGCGGUGAAAUGCUUAGAUAUUACAUGGAAUACCAAUUGCGAAGGCAGGUUACUACUUAUGGAUUGACGCUGAUGGACGAAAGCGUGGGGAGCGAACAGGAUUAGAUACCCUGGUAGUCCACGCCGUAAACGAUGGAUACUAGCUGUUCGGAGCAAUCUGAGUGGCUAAGCGAAAGUGAUAAGUAUCCCACCUGGGGAGUACGUUCGCAAGAAUGAAACUCAAAGGAAUUGACCGGNGUGAGAGAGACGACGACGACGACGAGGGAGGAGG